rnacentral:lncRNA from 1 species
CUUUGAGAUCUAUGAGACAAAUGAUCGAAGGGAUUAUAUUAUUUUUAAUGUUAAACAGGAGAAUUGGAAUGAGUGGAAAGAAAUUUAGGUGAAUGUGUGAAGAGUCAGGAAUUAAUGGAAAGCACUGGAUUUUGGAGAAGAGUUCUUGGAGUCGACUCCGGAGAAUGUGAAAUUGUAAAAUGAUGUAGUUUCCGUUUAUGCUUUACCUAAUUGAGCUCGACUCGACCUGCAUGCAUUAAGCUUAAUCAAUAAAUAAUCAAAUCAAACUCGAAUUACCUUGGAUAAUUUAUUAAAAUGCAAUGGUGAAGGUAAUACAUUUUUUUAGUUGAAUUUACAAAAUAUGUGAAUUAAAAUAAUGAUAAGUGCUAUGAAUAAGAUAUU